rnacentral:rRNA from 1 species
GAUGAACGCUGGCGGCGUGCCUAAUACAUGCAAGUCGAGCGAACGGACGAGAAGCUUGCUUCUCUGAUGUUAGCGGCGGACGGGUGAGUAACACGUGGAUAACCUACCUAUAAGACUGGGAUAACUUCGGGAAACCGGAGCUAAUACCGGAUAAUAUUUUGAACCGCAUGGUUCAAAAGUGAAAGACGGUCUUGCUGUCACUUAUAGAUGGAUCCGCGCUGCAUUAGCUAGUUGGUAAGGUAACGGCUUACCAAGGCAACGAUGCAUAGCCGACCUGAGAGGGUGAUCGGCCACACUGGAACUGAGACACGGUCCAGACUCCUACGGGAGGCAGCAGUAGGGAAUCUUCCGCAAUGGGCGAAAGCCUGACGGAGCAACGCCGCGUGAGUGAUGAAGGUCUUCGGAUCGUAAAACUCUGUUAUUAGGGAAGAACAUAUGUGUAAGUAACUGUGCACACCUUGACGGUACCUAAUCAGAAAGCCACGGCUAACUACGUGCCAGCAGCCGCGGUAAUACGUAGGUGGCAAGCGUUAUCCGGAAUUAUUGGGCGUAAAGCGCGCGUAGGCGGUUUUUUAAGUCUGAUGUGAAAGCCCACGGCUCAACCGUGGAGGGUCAUUGGAAACUGGAAAACUUGAGUGCAGAAGAGGAAAGUGGAAUUCCAUGUGUAGCGGUGAAAUGCGCAGAGAUAUGGAGGAACACCAGUGGCGAAGGCGACUUUCUGGUCUGUAACUGACGCUGAUGUGCGAAAGCGUGGGGAUCAAACAGGAUUAGAUACCCUGGUAGUCCACGCCGUAAACGAUGAGUGCUAAGUGUUAGGGGGUUUCCUCCCCUUAGUGCUGCAGCUAACGCAUUAAGCACUCCGCCUGGGGAGUACGACCGCAAGGUUGAAACUCAAAGGAAUUGACGGGGACCCGCACAAGCGGUGGAGCAUGUGGUUUAAUUCGAAGCAACGCGAAGAACCUUACCAAAUCUUGACAUCCUUUGACAACUCUAGAGAUAGAGCCUUCCCCUUCGGGGGACAAAGUGACAGGUGGUGCAUGGUUGUCGUCAGCUCGUGUCGUGAGAUGUUGGGUUAAGUCCCACAACGAGCGCAACCCUUAAGCUUAGUUGCCAUCAUUAAGUUGGGCACUCUAAGUUGACUGCCGGUGACAAACCGGAGGAAGGUGGGGAUGACGUCAAAUCAUCAUGCCCCUUAUGAUUUGGGCUACACACGUGCUACAAUGGACAAUACAAAGGGCAGCGAAACCGCGAGGUCAAGCAAAUCCCAUAAAGUUGUUCUCAGUUCGGAUUGUAGUCUGCAACUCGACUACAUGAAGCUGGAAUCGCUAGUAAUCGUAGAUCAGCAUGCUACGGUGAAUACGUUCCCGGGUCU